GACAUAAAUAUGACCAACCAGAUCCCAAGUAGACAGGAACAAAUGAAGAUAUAGCGCAUAGAAAGACUUAUUCUUGGUGAUCAACUGCUAUUGACAUUUUUGAAUCGGGGCAAAUGUGGAGUGAAGAAAAACGUUUGCAACACAUCCAUUCCAGAGUGCUCUGACAGAUAAAACUGACACGCUUGAUGAGGACACAGUCAAGCUUUAAAAGCCCGUGUGAUAAAGCAGUCUUCAAUUACUACGGUGUCUGAAUUGCAAGAAGAAGUCACCCUCCACUUAAACAUGUGACAUCUAAACUGUUUUGUGUUUUAGUUCAGCUUUUUAUAGGUUUAUCUUAAGUUGGUUAAAGGCAGAGUGCACUAUUUUUGAAAGCCAAUGUUAACAUUUGAAAUUACCUAAACAAACAUGCCUCUACCCCAAUAGAAUCGGGACCUUCUUUUGAUAGAGCCACCACACACAUACGCAACCCCGGCAAGGAUGUCAGUUAGUAGACACGCCCCUUACUGCUGGUUGGCUACAAGGUGUGUUUUGGUAGUCGGCCCAAUUUCCUUUUCCAAAGCGUUUUUCAA